rnacentral:rRNA from 1 species
GGAAUAUUGGUCAAUGGGCGGUAGCCUGAACCAGCCAAGUAGCGUGCAGGAUGACGGCCCUACGGGUUGUAAACUGCUUUUGUGCGGGAAUAACGGUCUUUACGUGUAGAGAUGUGCAUGUACCGUACGAAUAAGGAUCGGCUAACUCCGUGCCAGCAGCCGCGGUAAUACGGAGGAUCCGAGCGUUAUCCGGAUUUAUUGGGUUUAAAGGGAGCGUAGGCGGGAGAUCAAGUCAGCUGUGAAAUGUAGAUGCUCAACAUCUGCACUGCAGUUGAAACUGGUUUUCUUGAGUGCGUAAGGGGCAGGCGGAAUUCGUCGUGUAGCGGUGAAAUGCUUAGAUAAGACGAAGAACUCCGAUCGCGAAGGCAGCCUGCCGGGCCGCGACUGACGCUGAAGCUCGAAGGUGCGGGUAUCGAACA